UACAGAGGUCUCAAGCGUUGUUCGGAUUCAUUGGGCGUAAAGGGUGCGUAGGCGGCGCGGUAAGUCGGAUGUGAAAUCUCGGAGCUUAACUUCGAAACUGCAUUCGAUACUGCGGUGCUUUGAGGACUGGAGAGGAGACUGGAAUUCAUGGUGUAGCAGUGAAAUGCGUAGAGAUCAUGAGGAAGACCAGUGGCGAAGGCGGGUCUCUGGACAGUUCCUGACACUGAGACACGAAGGCCAGGGGAGCAAACGGG
rnacentral:rRNA from 1 species